CUACGGGACGCUGCAGUGGGGAAUAUUGCACAAUGGAGGAAACUCUGAUGCAGCAACGCCGCGUGGAGGAUGACACUUUUCGGAGCGUAAACUCCUUUUAUAUAGGAAGAAGAUGACGGUACUAUAUGAAUAAGCGCCGGCUAACUCCGUGCCAGCGAGCCGCGGUAAUACGGAGGGCGCAAGCGUUACUCGGAAUCACUGGGCGUAAAGAGCGUGUAGGCGGAUUAAAAAGUCAGAAGUGAAAUCCUAUAGCUUAACUAUAGAACUGCUUCUGAAACUCUUAAUCUAGAAUAUGGGAGAGGUAGAUGGAAUUUCUGGUGUAGGGGUAAAAUCCGUCGAGAUCAGAAGGAAUACCGAUUGCGAAGGCGAUCUACUAGAACAUUAUUGACGCUGAGACGCGAAAGCGUGGGGAGCAAACAGGAUUAGAUACCCGCGUAGUC
rnacentral:rRNA from 1 species